AUAUGAAACCACGCCGAGCCAUCUCGGCCCGCACUAGGGCUUGGCUAUAAAUACAUUUGAAACCAUGCCCAAUACGGCAAUCAGUCUUCCUUCUCCUUCUCUUGGGGGCUUCAAAAAGCUUAACAGUCCCCACCGCCAUCACCAUGAGAGCCAAGUGGAAGAAGAAGCGUAUGAGGAGAUUGAAGAGGAAGCGUAGAAAGAUGAGGCAGAGAUCUAAGUAGAUUUUCUCAUUUCCGAUUACUUUCUUCUUCUUUUCUUCUAGUGUGUUUUAAAUCAAACGGUGGAUUAUGUAGUUCCCCCUUGUGUUUUGAUUAAUCAAAUGAUGGGUUUUAUCUAUGGAUAUAUUUAUUUGUUUUCUUUGAAUGUAGAUGGGUUUGGUUUCUUUCCUUGAUAAUUUCCUUUGGGAUUUUAUCUGUUUAAAUGGAAUUGGAUUUAGAUUGAUAAGAUUAUCUGCUUGUGAUUAUCAUUAUUUUCUUCUCUUUUUUUGUUGGGUUUUGUUUGCGGGUUAGAUAGUAGUGAACCACGUUGUUUCGAUAUGGUUAUGACAUCACGGUUUGGGUCAUUUGGUUUGACUAUACAAUCCUGGUUUGAUUUUGCGUUUUAUUGUGAUUUGUGCUGAGAGAUUAUGAAAUCUUGGUGUGAUUAUUUGGAUAUCAAGUUGAUAAGUAAUCAAGUUGAGAGCUUCCACAACCCAUACACGGGAUGAUUAGGUAAUGGGAUUUUGUGUGUUAUUGUUGCCGUGCGCAAGCUGAUUUGCUGCGAUGCAAAUGGAUGGGUUGUGGAAGUUUUGGUGUGAUUAUUGGGUUAUUAUUGAUCUGGAUUUGAUAAGUAACGGGAUGUUUCGCACUAUUUAGUCAGAGGCUCAGGCUGAUCUUCAGCUUUGUAAAUGAUUCAGUAUUUUUCCUGCCAAAGAGGACCAUGUAUGCUUCGUUGCUGAUUGUAGAACAGAAGCAACAGAUAUGCAUCAGAUUAACCAAGUCCUCGUUAGUGUUAAUGAGGAUGUCUAGGAGUACGGCAUAUGAAGUGAUUGCAGGACUGCAACCAGUUCUGCAUUGCUCAUAGCUAAUGAGGCUUCGAAUUGCAGUCCCAGAUGUUUCAUCAAUAACAAUCAUUUUCUGAAUUUUAUAUCCAAGAUUCUACCUGACCCCCUCCUCCUGGAUUUGAUGCUGGCAUCUACAAGAUGUGUGGCAGGAGGAGUAACAAGCUGCCCUUGGUAAAAAAGUGUCUUCUUCCAUUUCUUCAGCGCAGUCAAUUAACCAGGUUCUUUAAGAGGUCUAGCAAGUGCUUAUUUCCUCGGCUAGGUAGAUCUUCUGGGAGUGGAUGGUACGAAGAUCUGUGGGUUUAGAGAUGAAGGGUACAAAGGUUGAUUAUAAAAAUUAUAUAAAAAUGGUCGGCUAGCCAUUUCCUUUCAAUAUAAAUUUUUUUUUUUUUCAUACGAGAAUAUGUUUAUAAACAUGGUCCCCUAAACUAUUGAUUGAAAUGUAAUCAAUCUUUGAAUAAAUUAUUGAAUGCAAUUAGUUCUUAAACAAA